ACAAGAGUAUAUCCAUCAUCACACAUCAUAUAUAUAUACAUCAAAGUUUGUUUUUGUCCUCUAAUAACCCUCUUUAGUAAGUUUGAGCUUACUAAUAUCUGUUAGCACUCGGAACUGUGGCCUGGAUAAUUGGCUUUCGUCAUCAUGAUAUUUGCCUUCACAUGAAAUGACAUGCUUCAUGAUGAAUGAGCAGAUGUCCUCAACUAUGCUGUCUAAAGUACGUUCGUCCAUGCGCUCCGCCGUUCCUUGCUUAUAUACCUGCAAAGAAAGUUUAUAAACAUUAUAUAUUUUAUGACUUCCAACUUUAAUAGACUAUUAUUUAUAUUACCUUGUCAGGGUUCCUUGCAUAUCGUCCGUUUUCUCUCAUGUUCUCGCACACGUAGUAGCCACAAAGGGUAGAUAAGGGUGGUUGCUUCAUGCACUGUAUAACAGGAGAGUGGUUAUUUAAUUAUAGUUGCAAUUGUGGUCGUAUGUGUAUGAUUUGUAUUCAUAAUAGUAAAUUUUUAUACGUACCGGCCAGUUAUGUAUAACCUCCAAUGGUUGCCCUGGUCUCUUGGACUCGCACUUUCCAUGAUUUAUCUUAUAGAACCUAUAUGCCCUAUCAUCUCAAAUAGAAUCACCAUG
rnacentral:lncRNA from 1 species